GUGGUCUAGUGGUUAGGAUUCGGCGCU
rnacentral:piRNA from 8 species